AUGGACGGCAAUGGGAGAUCGGCGGCGAGUCACAAGAAGCCUCUCGUCGCGGACAACGACCUGGUGGAGCUGCUGUGGCACAACGGGGGCGUCGUCGCGCAGCCGCAGACGCACCCGAGGCCGGCGCCCAGCGGCCUCGCCGGCGGUGGCGGGGAGACGGCCGCGUGGUUCGCGGACGACGUCGACGCGCUGGGGAACGACGUGUACGCGCAGCUCUGGAACAGCAUUGCGGUGGGCGCCGCCCCGGACGUCGCGUGCGCGGCGCUCCCGGGGCCCAGCUCCCACCCUCCCCCGCCGCCGCCGCCGCCGCCGAUGCCGAGCGGCAUCGCCUCCAGCUGGACCGGUGGCGACAUCGGCUCCACCUUCUGCGGCAGCAGCCUGGUCCCGGAGGUGCCGGCGGGGGGCAGGGAGGAAGCCAGCGCCGCACCGCCGUCGGAGGGGACGCGCGAGGCCAGCACGCGCGACGGCGGCGCCGGCACCUCGUCGUCCGGCGGGUCCGGGAGCAACUUCGGGGGCUCCGGCCUGCCGAGCGAGAGCGGCGGCCAUGCCCACAAGAGGAAGGGCAGGGGCAAAGACGACUCUGAUAGCCGCAGCGAGAGGAAAUUGCAGGAUGUGGAGUGUGAGGCCACUGAAGAGACCAAAUCGUCGAGGCGGCACGGGUCGAAGCGGAGGAGCAGGGCAGCUGAAGUUCAUAACCAGUCAGAGAGGAGACGAAGGGACCGGAUCAACGAAAAGAUGCGGUCACUGCAAGAACUCAUACCCCACUGCAACAAGGCUGACAAAGCAUCAAUAUUAGAUGAGGCGAUCGAGUACUUAAAGUCCCUCCAAAUGCAAGUUCAGAUUAUGUGGAUGACCACCGGGAUGGCGCCAAUGAUGUUUCCUGGUUCUCACCAGUUCAUGCCGCCGAUGGCCGUGGGCAUGAAUUCGGCAUGCAUGCCUGCGGCACAGGGUCUAAAUCAGAUGGCAAGAGUGCCAUACAUGAACCAUUCUUUGUCAAAUCACAUCCCUAUGAGCCCAUCUCCAGCAAUGAACCCUAUGUACAUUGCAAACCAGAUGCAAAACAUUCAGCUGAGGGAAGCAAGUAACCAUUUCCUUCACCUAGAUGGCGGGCAAGCAACGGCACCUCAGCUUUGGUUUCAAUUCUUUGCAGGUAGCAGGACCAUAUGCUUAUACACCACAAGUAGCACCGAAAAGCCAGAUACCGGAAGUGCCGGAUUGUACUGCUGUGCCAAUUUCUGGGCCCGGACAACCACCUGCACCUGA
rnacentral:rRNA from 1 species